AUUAGAGAUUAGUCUAAACAAGACAACUAAUUUCGACUUAGUAAACCUCGAUCGUACGAGAUCUCUA
rnacentral:tRNA from 1 species